rnacentral:lncRNA from 10 species
GAGAAUGCCGGUCUCGCGCAAGCGCGCACGCGCCGACCUUGAUCUCGUAGCCGGCGCCAGCAGCCGCGCUUUGGGGCGUCGGCUCACGUGGGGCCGGCAACGCGUCUUCCAGGAUGUUCGCGCGCUAGUCGCCGCUGAGGGGCCGGCGAUGCGCGAGGAGUUCCGGCGAGGAAGGAACAGAAUUGCCAUUGGGCCCAGGGAGAGACUACACUUCUUGUCUGCUUUGUUGCUAGUGCGGCCUUGUGGCCAAGCACAGAACGUGUGCAGUGAUGAUGGUGCAACUUCUAGGUCGUCCCCAGCAUGGAAAAUGAGCCCUGGGCAUGGAAGAUGAGCCCUGGUCCUGCAGCGGUGCUCUUUCCUCUUCUCACAAGCUGGAAUGUGCAUGUGCUCCCACCCAGCUUUGACCAUGGGGCGAAAACAGUACUCUGCAGUCUGGCAGAGCAACAAGGUGGAAAGGGCCUGGGUCCUUGAGUGACGUCAUGAGCCCUCUCACUGUCCCGACUUUGGGACUGUUAUAUGAUAAGGACUUUCUGUGAGUCACUGUCUUUUAGAGUCUCUCUGUUUUAGCUGCCUGGACUUUAUCCUGAAUAAUAUGGCUGUUAUCAUGGGUAUAGUGUUACUAUGAGCCUCAUCUAAGUAAUUUCUACUCUGCCUUUGACCACUAAACUCAUGUUGGACAAGAGUCACUUAGCAUUAUUUUUUCCUCAAUGAAGAGGUUAAGAUGGAGGGAGCAGGAGAAAUUGAGGCCUGUGUUUUACCAGAAGGUGAAGGGCUGUCUUUGCCUUUCCUACAUUUAUGAAGGAUAAUUCUAGACAAAAACAUUAAGUUCAUAUCAAACCAUCUGCUUUGUGAAGCCAUGGGCUUUGCUAGAACUUUCUGUGACAUGACAUUUAUUAACCCGAGUCUACCUGGAAGUUAGAGCUGAGGAAGUUUUCCUAGAGUGGAAAAAGUCCAAUGCACUUGUAAAAGUCAGACCAAGCUCAGCUCAGAUUUCAGUUUUAUUAGAAGUAUGUCACCUUCCUGAGCCCUUAUUAUUUCCCCAUCUGUGAAAUGAGGACACCGUUCUCUCUUUCUAAGCAUUGCUGGGAAGACCACACACCACUGAGACAGAAGGUGGGGCUAGCGCAGUUCUGGGCAUUUUGUACACCCCC